rnacentral:lncRNA from 1 species
AAACAUAAACUCAAAAUUGGAGUUCUUUUCCAAUGCUUCCCAUCAUCUCCUACAACAUUUAUCUUUUAUUUCUAAAAUUAUAGAAGAAAUUGUGGAAAGGAGAGGACAAAGCAUUGAGGAAGUUCCAUGAGAUCAAGGACUAACAGUGGAGAGGAUGGAGAGGAGCGAGGCGAGGAAGCUAACCCGGAGCAAGGAUGGCUUGAGAACAAGGGAACUGAGGCAGUCAAACAGCAGAAGUAAUUCAGGAUGUGGGCUGAAGAGCAGAGAUACUACAGGAGAGACUGCAAACCAAGAGAAGCACACAGAGGAUUCAGAGUUGAAAACUGAACCCAGGCAGAGCUCCCAGAUACUGGAGGCUUGCAGGAAGCAGAUCUGGCUAGGAGAGGAGGCUCUGCUUACACUACUAUUAUUUAAAAGUGCUGGAUGGCAGGGGACAUCAGGAAUGCCCUAGAGAUGCCCUGUUACAAGAAGCCCAGGGAAUCCACCCUGAGAAUACUUAACACGAGCCACACCAUCCAAAAGAAGGGCUUCUAUAAAGGUCUGGAAGCAUCUCUGAAAAUUUUACUUGCUUCCUUUUUUACUUACUUUCCUUCCUACUUUGCCAUCUCGGAAGACUGCCUCACAGCUGGAAAUCAGGAUAUUCCUGGGAGCUGAAUGGGAAAGAUCAUUUAUAUAUUCUUUUUUUUUUCUUCAAAUGUUGUACCACUCCAUAAUGGCAAGCCUGUUGAAGAUCCACAGCAAACAGAUAAAGUGAAGGAUUUAGUAGAAACUUGGAAGAGCAAGGUAGGAAGAAAGAAAUCUGUGUUUUCAUUGACAAUACUCAUUUGAGUGGUGAAGAAAAGUUUCACAAAAAUGAUAAUUACUUGCAAGAAAAGGCUUUUGUAAACUCAAUGACUUGUGACAGUAAUGGUUAGAAAUUGUAAUUAAGGUGUCAUGUCUUAAGCAUAAGCCUAGUUCUAGAAAGAGUGAUUAAUACAAUUUGAGGUCUUGGUCUUUUAGAAAAAAAAAAUCCACAUUCUUUCUGUUACUCAACAUGAACUUCCCUGCAGUUUCUUAUUCCAGUGAACAUCAGAAAGAGCAAGUCUAGCAUCUCAGUUCAAAGAAAAGUAGAUUAAAAGAAAAAAACAGUCCUAAUUCAGUAGCCAUAGGAUAUCAAUAAAAAAGAGGACAGAAAAUGUCACUAGUGUGUUAGAUGGAUUUGCCUUUGAUAUAAUAAUGUCUUAAAUGACAUGAUUGUAUAGAAGGCAGAAAUGGGUUUUUGUGAUGUUACUUACUACUUCAUUAAACAGGCAAUUCUUAAAAGAUAUGACCUGUUUUGAUGUCUGACCAUUUACCUUUUACACAAAAAUGUUAGAAUUGGAAGAUAAUUUUUUUUUUUUAACAGACUCUUUUUGCAUUAGACGGGAGGAUGCUGAGUACCUGGGAGAAGUGAAUUGAUGCCCCUGGAAAUCUGACCAGGUGAGAUUGGAGGAGAGGUUACCCAAGACCAGAACCUUUCACUCUGCUUCCAGAUAGCCUUCAUUUUGCUCUUUUAACCAUUCCCCAGAGCCACUUCUAGUGCUUUCCCCUCCGUUUCUCAUCCCUAUUUUCUCUUUCUUCUUUCCCCAACCUAUCCACCGUCUGGUUAUAAUGUUUAUAAUUUUGAAAUUCCUAGUUCACAGAAUUCUAAUUCCAACAAUUCACACUGUCUCAUUAAAGAUCGCACUUUCGUUUUUGAGUGAAUAGAUUCUAUUUUCUAUCUAUUUCCAAUGAGUCCGAUGUAUCAAUCAAUGGCAUAUAUAUAUAUUUUAAAAUUCUUAUGAGAAAUUGGUAUGAUUAAGAAAAAGAUGGUGUGGCAUGUAAAUAUCACGGGGAUCCAGAACAUUCUAGUUAAAAAGUCAAUGAAAUGAUGAUCAAAAAUAGAUCUGGGAAGAUUACAGCAGCAGCAGCUCCUGGAAUAGUGUGGAAUUAAUCAUCUGGGACAUAAAGUAAAGCAAGAAGUAUCCAGGAGAGAGUCUCUGCACUGGGUAUUGCAGCCCCCAUGUGGUACUAGGAAU